CCUGGGAAACCCGUUUUGAAACCAAAACCCAGCAUACCCCAUUGUACAGAAUCCGCACAAAGAAUCCACUUUGUAAAUAUUUCCCCCACAUAGCUUCCUCUUGUACAAGUUCCCACAGAAUACCUCCAAUAAAAUCCCCGUUGAGAACCUUCAAUCAAAACGGGACAAAAAGAAAAAGGGCCUUACGAGGCAAAUCAUCACAGAAUCCGGAAAUACAAGCCUAAGCAGUCUAAAGGUUUCGCCAUUCAAUUCGAAUCAAUGGCGGGAUUUUCGCAACAGAAGUAAAGACGCAACGAAGCAAUUGGGAACGAUCAAGGUCACCAAACCGACCGUCAUUUUCGAACUAACAAUUGUUCUUUGUCUGAGAAAUUGAAACAGGUGUUAAUCCAAGACAACCGUGCAAGAAGUAGGUGUCGCCCAAAGAAGAAGGUACACGGGUACAAGAAACAUUUUGGCAAUAAGGAAUUCACUAGAAAGGUAGGUUUCCACCAAACUCCCUUUUAUCUUCUACUAAAACAAGAAAAUUCAAAAAAAAAGAGGUCGCUUAACUUUGUCCCUAGCCAAUCAGUAUUAGGGUUUUAAACCCUAAACUGAAUUUUCCUUUUAGUCAGCAUUAGGGUUUUAAACCCUAAACUGAACUUUUCCCUUUCAGCCAGCACUAGGGUUUUAAACCCUAAACUGAGCUUUUCCAUCCAAUCAGUAUUAGGGUUUUAAACCCUAAACUGAAUUUUCCUUUUAGUCAGCAUUAGGGUUUUAAACCCUAAACUGAACUUUUUCCUUUCAGCCAGCAUUAGAGUUUUAAACUCUAAACUGAGCUUUUCCAUGCAAUCAGCAUUAGGGUUUUAAACCCUAAACUGAAUUUUCCUUUUAGUCAGCAUUAGGGUUUUAAACCCUAAACUGAACUUUUUCCUUUCAGCCAGCAUUAGAGUUUUAAACUCUAAACUGAGCUUUUCCAUGCAGUCAGCAUUAGGGUUUUAAACCCUAAACUGAACUUUUUCCUUUCAGCCAGCAUCAGAGUUUUAAACUCUAAACUGAGCUUUUCCAUGCAAUCAGCAUUAGGGUUUUAAACCCUAAACUGAAUUUUCCUUCUAGUCAGCAUUAGGGUUUUAACCCUAAACUGAACUUUUUCCUUUCAGCCAGCAUUAGAGUUUUAAACUCUAAACUGAGCUUUCCCAUGCAGUCAGCAUUAGGGUUUUAAACCCUAAACUGAACUUUUUCCUUUCAGCCAGC
rnacentral:lncRNA from 1 species